rnacentral:rRNA from 1 species
UACGUAGGGGGCAAGCGUUGUCCGGAAUUAUUGGGCGUAAAGAGCGUGUAGGCGGUCCGGUAAGUCAGCUGUGAAAGUCAAGGGCUCAACCCUUGAAAGCCGGUUGAUACUGUCGGGCUAGAGUCCGGAAGAGGCGAGUGGAAUUCCCGGUGUAGCGGUGAAAUGCGCAGAUAUCGGGAGGAGCACCGGUGGCGAAGGCGGGAUCCUGGGCCAGUACUGACGCUGAGGAGCGAAAGCGUGGGGAGCAAACAGG